UUCAGGAGAGAUCGCGCACUGGGGUUGGUGGGCGGGAGCAGCGCGGGGUUCCCUCUGUCACGUGAGGGCCGGAGCGAUGGCGGCGGCGUCUGGUGAGAGGGGACAAGGAGCGGGAAUGGAGACCGGGACUGGGAAUGGGGCAGGAAAUACGGGACUGGCAUUGGCAAUACGGACACGAGCCGGGGCCGGGAUUGCGACUGGGAAUGGGAACACGGACCUGGAGUCCGGAACCGGGAAUGGGACUGGAAAUACGGGAAAGGGACCGGGUACGGGACCGGGAUGGGAACCGGUCAAGAGGGACACGGGCAAUGGUAAUACCCGGAAGCGGGCGGGAGCGGGGUGAUACUGGGGCGAGGAGCGGCCGGGAACAGCAGCGACACUCGGGUGGGGGGACACCGAGGCCCGGGCCGGGGGAAUUAACGGCUCCAGGGGACGCUGUGCACCUGCCCUGUGGGCAGAGGGGACGGCGAGCGGAGGAGACACCAGAACAGGGUGGGGGGACACGGGGACGAGGGGGACACCGGGGACAGGGAGUCCUGACCGGGGGUUUAACGGAGGCAGGGGACACUGUGGACUUGGCGGUGGGGACACCGGAAGAGAGGAGUGGCACCGGACCGAGGGGGACACAGACCGGGGAGUGACACCGGGACAGGGGUGAUCCCAGGACACGGGAUGACACCGAACAGCGGGGACAUGGACCAGGGGGUGACACUGAGCAGGGGGGACACCAGACUGAGGUGACACCGGCGAGUGUCCCCAGAGACCAAGCGGCUGCUGAGCUGCGGCCCCAGGUACAGCACAUCCGAGACAGCUUUGGUCCCAGUAGACAGCGAGCUGGGACAGUGGGGAUGGCAGGUGGGGACAUUGGGGACAGUAGCACGAGGGACUGGGAUACCAGGGAGGGAGCAUGGGGACAUGGGGACGCUUUGAAAGGGAUGCUGGGGUGUCCUGGGACAAAGCAUGGCAGCAUCACCAUGGUGAGAAAGGAGCUGAUGGGAGUGGUGGCCUUUGUCCCAAACCAUAGGGUGACACUGCUUUGGGGUGAAAUAUGAUGGUGUUGCCAGGAUGGGACAGGGCUUGACCAUGGAGGACUUUGUUCCCAAGCAUGGGGUGUCACUGUUUUGCGACAAAACUCACCUUUGUCACCAUGACAGGACAUGUGGUGACAGAGGUGGUGGCCUUUGUCCCCCAGCUGAUCCUGUUCAGGCUCAGCAACCAGCUGGUGCUGGCCUUCAAGCACCUGUUGGGCUACAAAGAAGGCAGCAAUGACACCCAGGCCAUCUACACCAUCUACACCCAGGCCAUCUACAGGAACCUCCUGAAGCACCUGGCCUUUGUCCUCAAGAAGGUGGCAUGGGGAUACUGGGAGGGGUUGGGGACAUCGGGGAAGUUGGGGGCAUUGUGGGGCUUGAGGACAAGGGGGCCUCCUGGUGCAUGUGGUCUACCCCCUUUAGAAGGUGGCACGGGGACACCAGGCAGGGCUGAGGACAACAGGAGAGGCUGGGGACAUCAGGACCUCCUGGAGCACCCUGCAUAUUCCCUCAGGAAGGUGCCAUGGGGACACUGGGAUGGGUUGCGGACACAGUGGUGGUUUGGGGACAUGGACAUUCUCAGGGCGAUGGAGGGGAUGUGGGGACACUGAGGUACCACAGGGCCGCCUCCAGCCCCAUGUCCCUGUCCCCACAGUACCUGUCUGUGUCCAACAAGGCCCUUGGCCACUACGUUUUUGCUCACUUCUAUGUGGUCAGCACACUGUGUCAGAAUUAUAGGGGUCUCAGUCCUUGGCAGAGGGGCUUCAGUCUCUGUUCGUCAUGGUGGUAGUAAAACAGACAAAAGAUUUUCCAUGGGGAGGACCACCAAAGUUGCUCCAGCAAGUUCAUUGGGCCAAGAGGUGGGAAAAUUCCUGGGCUGUUGUCGCAAAGCAGGUGCAAGCACACAGGCCCAUCACCCCCUUAACCAGGCCCUGUUAAAAACAGUGUACCAUGGCGGCAAAUACCCCUGCAAACAAUCACUUGGCAGGCCAGAACUCUGCUCAAGGGCUUGGUGUGCAUCCUCCUCAAGCAGGUCAAAAUUCCAAUCAGGGUCCUCAGGUCUAAGAGCUGAAAUGAGGGAUGUGGGACUCCAGGCGGCUCUUCAAAAUGCAGUUUAUUAUAUCUAAGAUGUUACAGCAGUCCAGGGUCGUGGGCGACAUAGCCCAUGCCUACAGCUGUCAGCUCCAGCUGCAGGCAGGCCUGGACACCCUUUGGUUUUGGUUACAUUGCAUUAUAUACUUUGCUGAGCAUCUUACUACAGUAGAACCAACCUAUACCUUAACUAUUAUCUAUAGCUUAUCAUUGCUAUAAUUACCAUAUUCGUGUUAGUAUUCUCCAAUCACUAAAAGUUAGUACAUUACAGUUUAAGCUAGAAGUUGUUUUUCAGUUUUCUUGCAGUGGAAAAUCUGGAGACCUUUUUUCUACUUGCAACAUCAGCAGGCUUGUUUGCCUGUGCUAUCUUUCUGCUUGGUAAAAACAUCUGCUUGUUUGAGGUGGGUUUAUCCUUUGCUCUAAGUCAUAAAAACCCCCUUCUCACUAACAUACCCUUUGCCAUCUUAGUUAUCCAGUAAGACUGACUCAGCAAUUCUUUUCUUCUACAUCAAAACUUGCUUCCAUCUCCAUUCCUUCAUCAGACUCUACAUUUAAAAAUCUUUCUGCUAAGCAUACAUAUCUGUGAGACUUUCUUGCCAAACUUUCAUCCUUCCCAACACCAUAGGGGCUUGGCCUGCUUGAUGGCAGCACACAUCUCGCAGUCGUGGAUAACCUGAGAAAUACUGUCCAUGGUUAAAUCCACUCCUUGGUCUCAUGCCCACUUACAGAUGGCAUCUCUGCCCUGAUGGCCUGAGGCAUCAUGGGCCCAUCCAGCUAGGAAUAACUCUCCCUUGUGUUCCCAAUUUAAGUCUAUCUUGGAUACCUCUAUCUUUGCAGCCUGGUCUGCCUGCUCAUUGUUUCAGUGUUCCUCAUUAGCUCUACUCUUGGGUACGUGGGCAUCUACAUGGCGGACUUUCACAGGUAGCCUCCCUACCCUGGUAGCAAUGUCUUUCCACUCACCAGCAGCCCAAAUUGGUUUCCCUCUACGUUGCCAGUUAGCCUUUUUCCACCUCUCCAGCCAUCCCCACAGAGCAUUGGCUACCAUCCAUGAAUCAGCGUAGAGGUAGAGCUUUGGCCACUUCUCUCUCUCAGCAAUGUCUAGGGCCAGUUGAACAGCCUUGAGUUCAGCAAGUUGGCUUGAUCCACCUUCUCCUUCGGUAGCUUGUGCAAUUUGUCAUGUGGGGCUCCAUACGGCUGCUUUCCAAAUCCAAUUCAUCCCUAUGAUGUGAGAGGAACCGUCAGUGAAAAGAGUGUAUUGUGUUUCCUCUGGUGGUGGUUGGUUGUAUGGUGGAGCUUCUUCAGCCCUUGUAACUUGUUCCUGCUCCUCUUCAUCAGCAAGACCAAAGUUUUCACCUUCCAGCCAGUUUGUAAUUAUCCCCAAAAUCCCAGGGUGAUUCAGGUUUCCUAUAUGGGCACGCUGUGUGAUAAGAGCAAUCCAUUUCCUCCAUAUAGCGUCAGUGGCGGGGUGGGUGGUGGGAACCUUUCCUUUAAACAUCCACCCCAGCACCGGUAGUUGGGGUGCCAGGAGGAGUUGUGCUUCUGGGCCAGUCACCUCUGAGGCAGCCUGGACUCCUUCAUAGGCAGCCAAGAUUUCCUUCUCUGUGGGAGUGUAGAUGGCUGUGGACCCUCUGUAACUUCAGCUCCAGAAUCCCAGUGGUCGACCCCGAGUCUCCCCAGGCGCCUUCUGCCAAAGGCACCAGGACAAGCCAUUGUACCCAGCUGCAGAGCAAAGAGCAUUCCUUACAUCUGGUCCGGUCCUAAAUGGGCUAAGGGCUACCACAUGAGCAAUCCCCUGCUUAAUCUUGGUAAAAGCUUGUUGCUGCUUUGGGCCCCAGUGGAAAGUGUUCUUCUUGCGAGUGACCAGGUAGAGAGGGCUCACGAUCUGACUGUACUCAGGAAUGUGCAUUCUCCAAAAGCCUAUGGUGCCUAGGAAAGCGAGUGUUUCCCUCUUGCUGGUUGGUGGAGACAUCAUGGUGAUCUUACUGAUGAUCUGAGUGGGAAUCUGAUGCCGUCCAUCUUGCCACUUCACUCCCAGGAACUGGAUCUCUCAGGCAGGUCCCUUGACUUUGCUCUUCUUGAUGGCAAAGCUGGCCUCCAGUAGAUUCUGGAUGAUUUUUUCUCCUUUCUGAAGUACUUCCAUUGCUGUGUUCUGCCACACAAUGAUGCCAUCCAUGUACUGCAGGUGUUCUAGAGCUUCACCCUUUUCCAGUGCAGCCUGGAUCAGUCCAUGGCAGAUGGUAGGGCUGUGUUUCCACCCAUGCAGCAGGCAUUUCCAGGUGCACUGCACGCCACUCCAGGUGAAAGCAAACUGAGGCCUGCAUUCUGCUGCCAGAGGAAUGGAGAAAAAUGCAUUAGCAAUGCCAAUAGUGGCGUACCACUCUGCUGCCUUGGACUCCAGCUCGUAGUGGAAUUCCAGCAUGUCCGGCCCAGCAGCACUCAGUUGUGGAGUCGCUUCAUUCAAGGCAGGAGAGUCCACAGUCAAUCUCCAUUCUCUGUCAGAAUUGCACACAGGCCAGAUGGGGCUGUUGAAGGAUGAGUGGGCCUUACUGACCACCCCUUGGCUCUCAAGCUCACAGAUCUUUCUGUGGAUGGGGAUCACAGCAUCUGGAUUCAUUUGAUACUACCAGCGGUGCACCGUCAAGGUGGCAGUCGGCCCUUGUUGCUCUUCCACCUUCAGGAGUCCUAUUGCAGAUGGGUCUUUUCAUAGUCCAGGCAAGGUGUUCAACUGCUUCAUGUUCUCUGUCUCUACACCAGUUAUUCCAAAAGCCCGCCUCAGUCCCUUUGGGUCUUUGUAAAGCCAUUCCGAAGAAAGUCUAUGCCCAGAAUACAGGGGGCCUCUGGGCCACUCGCAAUAGGAAUUUCUGCCACUCCUUCCCAGUCAGGCUCACCUCAACUUCCAUCAGAGUCAAUUGGUGUGAUCCUCCAUCACCCCGGCAACGGAAACAGGUUCUGCCCCCACAUGUCCCAAUAGUGUCAGGGUACACUGUGCAUCAGUGUCAACUAACACUUCAAAGCCAUAUUUCUGUGGCUCUGAUGUGCCAGGUUAUCAAUCCACACUAUCCAAAAGACCCAGUUUUCCUGUGCCUCUUAUUGGCUAGAGGCAGGGCCCCUCUAGGCCUGGUUUUUACUUCUUUCCUGGGCAUACAUACUAGAGGUUCCUUCAAGGAGAUGUGACAGAUCAUACCUGGCAGCUUGGUCAAUGAAGGCUUUCACUUCAGUGGAACAUCACUUGCUUAAUGUUUACCUCCUUGAGCUGGUGCACCCAUGCUUCCAGGACAGAAGUGGGUUUUCCAUCCCACCAUUCCCAUGUCUUCCCCAUGGUCAUGCAGAAAAAACCACAGCUCAGCCCAUGGGCUGUACCCUCUCUCUCUGAGGAACAUUGGGCUCUGACUCUGGGGCCUGUGACUCGCACUGGUGCAAUGUGGGAACUGUUCUUCCUCACCUCCUCCCUCAUCUCCUUUAUGUCCUCUUGGAGACUCUUAACCACAGCAGAGACAUGAGCCUUCAUUGAGUCAUUGAUCACACUCUCACAAUUUCUAAGCUUGUUGGCAACAGAUCCCACUGUCUCUCGGUUGGUAUCUGCAUUAAUUGUUGCAGUGAAGGUGAUGUAUUGGGAUGGCCCUAGAUUUGCCAGACUCCACAGCAUUUGCCCUGUGCACCUGACCUUGUUGGGGUCAUUGUCAUGCUGUCCAUCCCUCCCAAAGAGUACCUCCAAUACUGCCAAUUCUCUCAGCUCUUGGAUCCCUUCCUCAAAGGUCUUCCAGCACAUUUUAUCAUGGUGCUCCUGCAUUUUCUGUCUGUGGACAAACCUCUCUCUGACACUCAUUAAAAGCUGCUCCCUGAGGGAAAGGGACCCUGGCUUACGAAAAACCUGAUUCACAGCUGAGUCCUGUGUCAAGGGUCCCAAAUUCUUUGCCUUACCACCAUCCAGUUGCACACCUGUACCCAUAAGGUCCCAGACCAGUAACCAGGUUGUGUAAGCCUCACGUUCCCAUUGUACAAUGUCUUUGUGCAGAUUAUGGAGACUUUCAUAUGUCGGGGACUCGGAGAUUGUUGUGGUGUGUUUUUAGCUUCCGGGUCCCUUCCUCAGGUGUGCCAAUAUUCCCUUCUCCCUUCCCCCUCGCCCCUUGCGGAGUGUGCCCUGUCAAUCAGGCUUAAUAUCCCAGCAAGGCGUCGUGUGGUUGGUCACUUUCAAAAGAUGCUCCUCAGGCCUGGGGGACAUUGGACCGUAUAGGUGUCCCUAGUCCCUUGAGACCCUGCCCCUUUCACCUGGUUGGUAGCUCACCUGUCCCCUCCCCUUCCCCUGUCCCUGAGCUUAAAAGGUUAAUGAGACCAUGCGGUGGCAUUCUGUUGAAGCAGUUGCCCCGGUUCAGACCUCUGUAACCAUGGAAUAAACAUCUGGAUAUAACCCUCCAGCAGAAUCCUCUCCUUUCUCUCUUCACCAUCGCCAGAAGCUCUCUCUCCUGAGGUAAACGGAGUUCCUGACAAGCCUGGACUUGUUCAGUGCCCUGCUGCAAUCUCCAGCAGCCAAGGUAUCUCUGGGGUGAUUUACACCACAGUGCCGCCUUUGGCCCAGCAGCGAAGGUCAGACUGGCCCAGGCACCAUCUAACUGGUAGUAUUAGGAUUCAUAUUCCGAUAGGAGAUGAUCUCAACCUGCUCCCCUGCAGGUUGUGGGGGCUCUCCUUUCUUAUACUUACCAUUAUCUGGGUGCUCUGAUUUCAUGUUAGACUUCCUCAUUUCCACAGGGGUGACUGCUGUUGUCUGGGGCUGCCCUUGUGGUACAGCUGGAACCUGGAUGGUUGUAAAUAUGUGGCUUCAGUGGCUGCACUAUCAGGCUCUCCCUCUUUGAGGCAGGGGGAGGGUUUCUCACCAGCUGGAGAAAUGUGCUCCUUCAGCAUCUGGCCCAUCUCCUUUACCAGAAACCCCACCCAAUCCGGGUGAUUAAUUUCUGGGGUGGGCUGUGGGGCAAGGUAAGGCUCUGGGGCAUCAGGGUGCUUAUCCAAGUCAAUCUUCCCUUAUCUCUGAAUGCUUAAUAGAAAAGGCAUAUCAGCAACACCUGCCCCUGUAUGAUAUCAUUAGCAUUUAGAGAAGAUUUGAAUUCUUUGAAAACUGGUGGGGCAGACCCAAAGAGCUGGGUGAAGGGUUGGGAGAAAAUUUCCCCUGGUGUCAUUUCUUCACAGUAAGUAUCAUUAUUAAAGUAACCCCAUAGCCAUACAGUUAGUGUAGGAUAGCUCUGAAUCCAUGUGCCCUCCUUCGAGAGGAAGAUAAAAAUCCAUUAAUUCUUCACCUUAUUAACCCAUAAAGCCACAGUAGCCUUAGUUAUAGGAUUCAUGUUUAGAUAAGGGCCUGCAAAUGGGAGAAAUAUAGCCAUGACCACAUGCCACCCAAAACAGAGUAAGCUGGGCCACAUGGUGCCACCUAACAAGAUAUCUAUAUCCAACACACAAAAAAUUAGGUUACUCAACAUUUUUUCUAUCUGUGCCCUCAGGCCCCAUAUUGGGCACCAGAAUCUGUCUUGGUUUGAAAAGAUAGAUGUAAGGAAGGUAGGAGCCUCCCUGAAAUGGAAAAUGUAAACCGCUUCCCUCCGAAUUAUUAUAAUUUUGAAAUUAAGAAGCUCUCAGGCAAAGAUAUGGGAAUAGAAAGAACAGGAAAUUUGAAAUGCAAAUGUAGUAAUACAAAAAAACCCACUGACAGCGUCAGAAUAUGACCUGAGACCCUGUUGGCCAGGGUGUUGGUCACACUCCAAUUAAAUGGUGGCUGCAAUCCUCCUGGAGGGGCAGAUGUUGUUCUGUUGAGGCAGUGAUCCUGCAGAAGGGUGUAGUUUUCCUCUGAAAGUCUAGUGGUGGUGUAGUCUGGUCUUCCUGGCCUUCCUCUGAAGAUCCAGUGGGAAAAGGCUGGCUGUGGUUUUCCACAUCUAACAUUAUAUCUAUCCAGUUAGGAAUGCUUGGCCCUACCCAUGAGUGGAGCAUCUCACAAUACGAUGAUUCAAUUUUAUCAGUCAUGUGGUGAGGCUCAAUGGCCCAUUAACAGAAGGUAUCUCCCCAGAAGGAGGAUUGGCCGUGGAAGAGGUAAAGAAAACUGCCCCAUCUGGUUUUAACAUCCUGGCCAUUAACAGAAGAUAUGCCCUCAGAGUUAUGAGGGAUGAGACAUGGAAAAGAUAAAGAACACCCCUUACCUGUGAGAGUCUGUCCGAAUUUUCCCUCAUCUGCCUCAUGAUUGUCAUUUGGGGACCACUGAAGAGAAGACCACCCCUGUCUGGAAUCUCUGGCUCUGAAGGAGAAAGUCACAUGCCAAAGGCCCUGAGACCUGGAGAGCACAGUGCUAAGUUACUGUCUUCACAGGUAUUUGCUGUAUGCUACACUGAGCCCAAAGAAGGGGGCUCUGUGCCCUUUUUGCAACAAUAGCCUUGGAAGCUGUCCCACCUCUCGGACUGGCUGGAAUUCUCCUGAGUUUGGGUGGUCUCCCACAGAGGACCCUCACCUGUUUUACAACCACCAUGACAGACAGACGGAGAUGUCAGAAGCCUCUCCACCAAGGACUGAGAUAUGAAACUCCUAACAGGCCCCUCUGCUCCUUCCAAGGACUGGGACUGAAACCCCCAGGCUGGGGAAGGUGUGUGGGGGAGGCAAGCUGACCAAAGAGAGAUGUUUACCUGCAGCAGGUGUGAGCACUGGACCAAGAAGACAAUGGCUCUCAUUUACUGCUGAGAACAUAGACUACCUGUUACAUCUAUUCCUUAUUGUGUCCAACCCCCCCCCAAUUUUCAAUAGAAUUAUCAUAAUAAAAACCUCUGAGUUAGCUAGAGAUUUUGAGAUCUCCCCAACGUAACAGGCAGAUCCUCAACUGGACUGGACCAAAGGACUUUGUCUCUACAUUUGGUAGCUAUAUCCCCCCCCCCCCUCUCUCUUUCCUCUCUAUCUUUUCUCUCCCUUAAUCCCUCUAUGGCAUUUUGCUGUAGUCAUUCAGUAAAGGUGCAUUUGUUUUGAUUAUCACUGCCAACCCCUUGUACCGUGUCGGUUCUUUUGCACCCUGAGAUCAAUCCAUGAACCAUCAUGAAACUGGUUCAUAAGGAUGGAUCGUGACACUACCUCCCAGUGAUAGAUAACAUACUUUUGGUCACAUCUGGCAUUGCAACCCAAGACAUGUUACAGUCGACACUGUGAGGUCACACAACCUGCCCUGUGAUGUCACAGCCCACUCUAGGAUGUCUCCUCUGUCACCUUGCAGCCCACUCUAUGAAGUCAUAUCACCAUGUGACAUCAUAACCUGCUCUAUGAUGUCAUACAAUUGAGCCAUCACAGCCUGCCCAGUGAAGUCACAUAGUGCCCUCUAUGAUGCUGUAGGUGCUUGAUGACCUCAUAUUACAGACUCUGUGAUGUCAUAGCCCCAUCUGUGACCUCACCCAACCCACCCUGUGCUGUCACACAGCCCCUUUCUGACAUCACAGCUGCUCUGUGCCUCUCUGACACAGCCGCAGAGGUGCCACUGUGGCACAGCCCCCUCUGGGACAUCCCACGGCCCUUGCCAGUGCUGAGCCCCUGUGAGCUCUGUCUGUGCCCUGCUGGUGCGGCCCAGCCCAGCUCAGCAGCACAGACACAGCACCAGGACUUUAAUGAGCCUCUGGGGCUUUGUGCUGAGGCCCUGAACAUCAGUCCCUGAGAGGGUGCUGAAGAAACCUCUAAAGAAUCCACAGUCGGAACCAAACUCCAAAGUUCCUGGUACCUUUAAUGGAUCCCACUGAGGGAUACAACUGAGAAAAUGUCCCCAGGCAGAGCAGAGAACUGGAGGCAGUGAUGACAGGUGGGGACAAAGAGAAGCCAAGUCUUGCUGCCCUGAGGCACAGCAGGGUCUGUGCCACCAAGGGCUGUGAGGAGACACCUUGUCCUGAGGCCCUGGGGCCUCCUGGCACAGCCCCAGCCAGGCUGGGCACUGUCAGCCCCUUGUCCUGCCCUCUGCAUCCCCCCUAGCCCACAUCCCAGUGGCCUCAAGGAUGUGCUGGAAGGAGUCCCUGGGGAGCCUUGCUCAGGAAUGGCCCUGUGGGGGCUUCCAGGGAGUGCACGUUCUUCAAAGGACUUUAGGUUGUGCUUUUGCAUUGGAUUUCUGAGAGGUUUGUGCAAUCAUGGCCUCCAAUUAUCUGAUGUAAUGAGUCCCUUAGGAUUCUUUGUCAGUAACAACACUCAGUGGGCUUAUUAAUGCUUCGAGAUACUUCCAUUUUUUCAAAGUACUUGGUGUUUUCCUUUUGAUACUGGUACCUUAAGUUUCAGCUUUCAUACUUUCCAGAUUCAGUACUGCAUUAGUAUAUAACUCUGAACUUCACAUACAGUGUUAGCAAGUUCUCUUCACAGUGUAGACAAAACAAUCUAACACUGUCUCGCCUCUGUUCCAGGUAGCCUCUUAAGGCAUCAAUACAGACUCAGUGAGAAGUUUGUGCAAUCAUGACCCCAGUUAUUUGCAUUAAUUAGUCCCUUGAGAGCUUUGUAUUGACACUAAGUGGGGCUCAUUAAUACUUUGAGAUAUGCAAGGUGUUUAAGGUGCUUUGGACUUUCUUUUCCACACUGAGUCUGUGAGAGGUUUUUGUGCAAUCCUGGUCUCCAAUUCUCUCCUCCAAGGAGUCCAUGAGGAGCCUGUGUUGGGGAUGGACCUCAGUGGGACCCAUUAAUGCCUUGAGACACUUUGGGAUUUUUUUCUGACUGACUCCAAAGGUUUGUGCAAUCUCCUCUUAGGCUCUGAGAUUCCAGGGCUCAGCACUAAAUGCACCACAGGGUUCAUUAGGAUCAAGGCAGUCCUGACAAAGCAUGGCUCUGCCUUGAUUUCCCUCUGAUCUGGUGCCAUUCAUUAGGAAGGUUUUCCUACUGCAGUAAUGGAGAAAUACUUCAAAGUGCUUCUAAAAAAUAUGAGUUCCUAUUUUAAAGAUUGUUUUUUAUUAAGUUUCUCUUUAGAGAAGAGUUGAUUGCAGCAUUCAGUGACGGCUAUUGACCCAGGAACUUUCCUCAGGCGGUCAGGCCUGGUCAGAGGAGCUGUGCAUUGAGGCCUGACCCAGUGUGGACAACCUUGCUCAACAUUCCCAACCCCAUCCUGUCUCUCCUCACUCGCCUGGGACCUGUUUUGCUUGGAGAACUGGCUACACUCAGGCAAAUAAGGGAUUGGUUUUUUUGAAGCAAUCAAAAAUUCCUGAGUUUACUCAUUGAAAAAUGAGGAAAGACACCCUCAAGUAUGUGCCAAGCCCAAGCUGCCACCAAGGACAUUCCCUUUCCCCAAGACAGAGCUCUGCAAGAAAUGUUUUAUUCCUUUGGAUUCUUUGGUUCCAUGAGGCCAUGCUGUGUCACAAUGGACCCUCAGUUGCAUGGGGCUGCACGGUGUCACUUUGGCCCUGAUAUAGGCUUAAACAGAUUAUAGUCAGCUGUGUAAUCAAGGGUUAAACAAACUGUAGUUUACAGUGUAAUCAAAAAAAGGUUGUCCUUUUCCUAUACUGCUGUAUAAUCAAGAGCAGAUGGUCUUCUUUCCUAUACUUUAAGGGGAUCCUCUAUACCCUAAGGGAAUAUAGUUUAUUGUUUAAGACUAAACAAGUGCUCAAAAAAAUGGUAGAAACUGGAUCUGUGUUUCAGACCAUGGCCAGAAGCCUUGGAGAAUGGCCAAAUGUGAAGAGAGUCUGCACAAAGACCAGGUUCAUUCAAAGGGCAUACUAGGAAGACUGCUUACUUUAUCCCAUGACCACUGCCCAGAAGACCCCCAAAAAGCAAUGUGUCUUAGUUUGGAAAGACAGGUGUCCGCUAAGGAGGAAGGAGCCUCCCCUGAAAUGGAAAAAUGUAAACCCCCUCCCACCAAAUUGUUAUAAAUUUGAAAUUAAGGGGCUGUCAGGCAAAAAUAUGGGAGCAGGAAUAACAGUUCUUUAUUAGGGAAGAAAAUAAAAAGAUAAACAAUGCAGCAGACCAAAACGAUACUGAUAGAGUCAGAACACAACCUGACACCCUGUUGGUCAAGGUGUUGGCAGCAGUCCCAUUGGAAUUGUGGCUGCAGUCCCCCUGGAGUGUCAGGUGUGGUUCUGUUGGAGCAGGGAUCCUGUAGAAGGGUGUAGUCUUCCUCUGAAGAUCCAGUGGAGAAAGCUGUGCUGGUGUUCCAGAAACUCCAGAUUAUAUCCAACUAGGAAUGCUUGGCUCCUCCCUCCGGGCAGAGCAUCUCACAAUGGGAUGCUGUAGUUCUUAUCAGUCAUGCAAUGACUAUCAAUAGCCUAUCAUCAGCAGAUGUCUCCCUGGUUGUGGAAGGGAUAAGGAAAACUGCCCACUUAACAGAAGACAAGUGCCAUACAGAUGGCAAAUAGAAUACAAUUUGCUUGGCAAUCCAGGACACAGUGCUAAGAGUGUGGAGGCGCAGAACAAUAAAAACUGAUUAACAUACAAAGUGAGAGUAGGCGGGGAUAGGUUAUGGAUAUGUACAGGCGAUGACAAAUAUGUAUGAGCUUAAGAGUAUUUGAUACAGAGCAUCUGCUCUGCUGGACACACACAGCUUUGAUGAAGUGAUUCCCUGUGUGUCCAGCGCUGAACAAACAAACUUCUACUUCACUAAUCUGCUGGUUGUGGAGUCUUUAUUUCUACAUGUCAGUUGGUGAGCCAGUCAGGAGUCUCUCUGCUCGUCUGCAGGACUGACUGGAGGAUGAUGUCCUAGGCACACCCCGAGCCCUUUUCUUGGAGUAACUCCUUCCCCAGCUGCUCACUGCAGGAGCAGGGAAGAACCUUCUGUGGUUGCAAAGAGCAUGUUUGACAAAGGCGGGGCCAGUAAGUUGUAGGGGAUGCUGGUGCCUGGCCAGGGGCUGCUGGUAAAACACUCAGAGACAUCUGGUGUACGGCAUAGUCCCUGUUUAGGAGGAGGGUGCCAUGAAUUUUCGGAGGAGGGUGCCCUGGGAUUUGCUGACUGAUAGAGCUAGCAAUCUUGAGUGCAGAUCAAGCAAAUCCAGGGUUACUGCUGCAUCCCAGCAUCAGGAGCCAGGAUGGACCUGCUAAUGACUGAAGCAAGAAAAGGGUAAGCAGACCCUUUUAAAUGAUUACUUGGAUUAUACUUACAGCUGCUGGAGGGGUAUUAAGUGGAAUAAUAAUUGGAUGUUAAAUUUGUAAAUGCCUGGGUAUUUUAUGUUAAGUACUUAAAACAUUCCGUGUUGGUUUUUUUUUUUGUGUGUGGGUGGGUGUGUGUGAGUGUGUGUGUGUGGGUGUGUGUGUUUGAGAUGCAGCAUCACUGCAAAGCAAGAGGGAGUUCUGAUCUGCAGUUCUGUGACCCUGCAAGGGGCAUGGUCAGUGAUGGACAAAGUGCUUAAAAUGUUUUGUAUGGUACGUCCAGUACUGCAAACAGUUUGUUUACUUAAAACAUCGGCAAACUGUGGAUCCAAGUUCUAACCAAGAAUAUAUUAAGCAAGCUUUGAAACUAGUGAAUGUGUAUCUGUGUAUGUGACAGGCUGUUUUGAUGGCCAGAAAUAGGAUAGCUAGGAAAAUAACUGGGAUAAGACUAUAAGAAAGUGUACAAAGAAGUUCUAUGGAAACUAGGGGCAAGAAGCCCCAAAGGGAACAGAAGGAAUGGGGAAAGGCCAGAGUAAAGAGGUCCAGUGAAAAACCCCUUUAGGCUGCAUAUUAGUGCACUGGAAACAUAUAGUUGGCUCAGGAGAGACAGAAAAUAAAAGGACUCUUAUUAAAUAUUGCAACCAUUGGUGGCUGUUGUAUAGAUUAGAGAAUGAGGCUGAAUAGCCCCUUAACAGAACUAUAGACUAUAACAUUACUUUGCAGUUAAUUCUGUUCUUAAGGAGAGAGGAAAAAUGGGAUAAAACAUCAAAUGCAGGUAUGUUUUUUACCCUCUGAAACCACCCACAGUGGCAGAGAGACUGUGCCACCACAAGAUUGUCUUGUACUUGCCCUUGAGAAGGAAAAACACAAAGACCUCAAAGGUAAAUUAAAGCGAUGUUGCUCAGCAUGCGAAAUUGGCCAGCAGUACUCUAGAAGAGAUAAAAUUCAUCAGGCACCAGAACAGGAUCUAACUGAUUUGUUUAAGCCUCCUCCACGAUCACAGGAACAGAUGCAGACUCAGACAGAACCCUCACUCCCUCAGAUAGUCCUGUGUCUUCCCACACCAGAAAAAAUCAGCUCCAGAGGUGGUGCAGGCACCUCUCUGGGAGGCAGUAGGGCCUGAGGGAGGGACACUGCUGAUUAAGGCACCUUUUUCUAUCACCAAUUUAGAGGCAUGGAAAAAGUUGCUAAAGAUUAUCAGAAAGACCCACUAAGUGCAUCCAAACACUUCCAGUUUAUAGUAAAGCAACACAAUCCUGAUUGGAAUGACACAGUUAUUGUUAGAAUAUAUUACUGAAACAGAAGAGCAAUUAAUUCUAAAAACUACAGGGGAUUUGGCUGAUGAUUAUUAUAAAACCAAGGGGGAAGACAUUAUAGAAUACUUCCCCUUCCAAGACCCAAAAUGGGUUGUGAACAGGUCUGCACACAUAGAAAAAUUACAGGCAUACCAGGGGUGAAUCUCAAAAGGAAUGUAAAGGGCCAUUCAUAAAACCAUAAAUUGGUCCAUAUGAUACAUAAUCAAACAAGGUUCCUCUGAAUCACCAUCUGAAUUCCUGGAUCACCUGAGGGACAUGAUGCGCCAUAACACACUGCUGGAUCCUGGGUCAGAGGUAGGAACACAAUAACUUGUUUCUUUGUUUCUGGGCAAGUCUAGAGGAGAUAUUAGGCGCAAGCUGCAAAAGCUGCAUCCUACAGACAGCAGGAAUAUAUAAGUAAGUGUUGCUGGAUGAAGCAUGGAGAGUUUUUAGUAACAGGGAAGAAAAGUACAAGUGGGGACAUGGAAGGGUGGUGGCGGUCACCAGGGAGGAGGGAGAAAGGAAAUGGAGACUGCCCUGACUAUGCAAGGACCAAUGUGUGUUAUGCAAAAGGUUUGACCACUGUAAAAAUGAAUGUCCAGAAAAAUCCAAGUAUAAGGAGAUAGUACAGAAUAACCAGAAAAGGAGGAUAGUGGCCCCUGUAGAAGAAGACUGACCAGGACCUGGGGAAUCCACCCUAGUGGAUCCACUGAUUGUAAUGAAGCUAGGGAAAAAACAAAAGAAAGUAGAAUUUUUGGUCAACACAGGGGCAAUGUAUCUGGUUUUGAACCAAGAUUUGAUGCCCCUGGUAAAUUAUUAUAUCUUGGUAAAAGGUGCAACUCGUCAAAGUGAAAAGGUGUACUUUUGUGAACCUCUGAGAUACAAACUGGAAAAACAAUGGGGCAUUCACAAAUUUCUGUAUAUGCCUAACUCUCUGAAGGGAGUUUUUUGGAAGAGAUUUAUUAGAGCAAUUUGAGGCAGUAAUUAAAUUUGAAAAAGGAAAGAUUACUCCAGAGGUAAAUGACCAGCACUAUAUACAAAUAAUGAGCUUAUCCCUAGCUAGUGUUUCUACAGAAAACAAAACCAGCAAAGAAAUCACAGACCAGGUAUAUCCCAGGGUAUGGGCCACUGAUGUGGCCCAGAGAGCAAAGAAUGUUCUGCCCACCAAAGUCAAACUUAAAGAGGGAUGGCAGCUAGUAAGAAUCAAACAGUACCCCCUGAAAAGGGAAGACCAGGAAGGAAUUUGGCCAGUGAUAGAAAAAUUUUUACAACUAGAAUUGUAAAGGAGUGCGAGUCUGAUUUUAUUACCCCCAUAUUACCUGCCCAUAAACCUGACAGGUUGCAUUGAGUGGUGCAGGACUUAUGAGCUGUAAAUAAAAUAACUGAGGACCUCUAUCCAGUGGUGGCAAACCCAUAUGCCUUGUUGAUUGUAUUGACAUCUGAACUAGCCUGGUUUACUAUUUUAGACCUGAAGGAUGCCUUCUUUUGCUUCCCUCUCCAUAAAGCCAGCCAAAAUAUAUUUGCAUUAGAAUGGGAAAACCCCAAAAGUGGGUGUAAAACCCGGCUUACUCGGACUGUAUUACCCCAAGGAUUCAAGAACAGCCCCACUAUAUUCAGCAAUCAAUAAGCAAAAGAUCUUGAGUCCUGGGAGGCUCCAUCAGAAGAAGGGAAGCUGUUACAAUAUGUAGAUGAUAUCCUGAUUGCCACCAAAAAAAAGGACCCUAGCCUGACCUGGAUGGUGAGUCUGCUUAACUUCUUGGUACUGGUUAUCUAAGAAGAAGGCCCGAGUAAUGCAGCAGGAGGUAAUUUAUCUAGGAUAUGAGAUUAGUACUGGACAAAGAACUCUAAGAUGAACCCAAAAACAGUCAAUAUGCCAAAUGCCAAGGCCACAAAGAGUGAAAGAAUUACAAACCUUUUUGGGGUGGUGGUGGCUGUGGAUCUACAACUAUGGACUGCUGAUUAAACCCCUAUAUGUGCUGACAGCCACUGAAUGAAAGAACCUUCAAUGGAACAAGGGAGCUACACAAGACUAUCAGUCACUGAAAAAGGCUCUGAUGUCAGCUCCAGCCUUGGGACUCCAGAUAAAUACAGAGGAACCAGCACAUCGUGACUGUCUGGAAACCACCAAAGUGACAUAUUUAAGCUGUCCAGACCUGAAACAUAGUCCUGUGGAGAAUACGGAAAACUGGUUCACAGAUGGAAGCAGUGUCCUGGGGUGACGUUAUGAUGCUUGUAUAUCCCCAUUCAUCUGUUCUGUGCCUUUAAGACCGGCUCUGAAGAGUGGAAGUUUUGUUUGGGUUUCUCUUAUCAGGACACAGAGACAAGCAGUACACAGAGCUGUUUUUUUUACUUCCAGCUUUGGGCUUGCUGCUUUUGCUUGCUGCUUUUGCUUGCUCUCUUUUUCUGCUCUUGCUUCUGCUCUGCUUUCUGCCUCUGCUUAUUAGCUAGUUCUAGCUAAACAGUCCACAUUGCUUCCUGGACUGUUUCUCCUCUCCUGUUCCUGUGACCAUCUCGAACCUGCUCCGGACUGGGACCCGGGAACACCAAGGGUUCGGCUGCAGCGGCUGGCCCAGCGCCGGAGGGACUGAGAACAGAGCAACCACCCCCGAAAGAGACUUUCUGAUUUUGCCAUCUUUCUCAGAGCGGUGUCAUCGGGUAUUGUUCAUUUUGUGUGCUGGGGGGUGCUGUGUCUGUCAAAUAAACAGGUUCUUUCCA